GCUGGCGGCGUGCCUAACACAUGCAAGUCGAACGGGAUGCGUAUUGGAAAGCUUCGGCCGGAAGAUACGUUAUCUAGUGGCGGACGGGUGAGUAACACGUGGGUAACCUGCCUUAUGGAGGGGGAUAACAGAGAGAAAUCACUGCUAAUACCGCAUAAGCACACAGUACCGCAUGGUACAGGGUGAAAAGAUUUAUCACCAUAAGAUGGACCCGCGUCUGAUUAGCCAGUUGGCAGGGUAAAAGCCUACCAAAGCAACGAUCAGUAGCCGAUCUGAGAGGAUGACCGGCCACAUUGGGACUGAGACACGGCCCAAACUCCUACGGGAGGCAGCAGUGGGGAAUAUUGCACAAUGGGGGAAACCCUGAUGCAGCGACGCCGCGUGAGUGAAGAAGUAUUUCGGUAUGUAAAGCUCUAUCAGCAGGGAAGAUAAUGACAGUACCUGACUAAGAAGCCCCGGCUAACUACGUGCCAGCAGCCGCGGUAAUACGUAGGGGGCAAGCGUUAUCCGGAUUUACUGGGUGUAAAGGGAGCGUAGACGGAGUGGCAAGUCUGAAGUGAAAACCCUGGGCUUAACCUGGGGACUGCUUUGGAAACUGUUAAUCUAGAGUGUUGGAGAGGUAAGUGGAAUUCCUGGUGUAGCGGUGAAAUGCGUAGAUAUCAGGAAGAACACCGGAGGCGAAGGCGGCUUACUGGACAAUAACUGACGUUGAGGCUCGAAAGCGUGGGGAUCAAACAGGAUUAGAUACCCUGGUAGUCCACGCUGUAAACGAUGAAUACUAGGUGUCGGGGAGCAAAGCUUCUCGGUGCCGUCGCAAACGCAAUAAGUAUUCCACCUGGGGAGUACGUUCGCAAGAAUGAAACUCAAAGGAAUUGACGGGGACCCGCACAAGCGGUGGAGCAUGUGGUUUAAUUCGA
rnacentral:rRNA from 1 species